GAUUUCAACUGAAAAAGUUAUCAACAACAAAGUUGAAUAACUCAUCAAGAUCUAAAACUUUUAUUUUGGUUAUUUCUUCAUCUGAUAAAAUGUUAGUAACAUUGUUCACAAAUUUUACAUAUAUGUGUUAUAGUUUAUAAAACCAGAUAAGAGAUAUGUCAAUUUUGUGAACAAUGUUACUAUCACUUUAUCAGAUGAAGAAAUGACCAAAAUAAAAGUUUUAGAUCUUGAUGAGUUAUUCAACUUUGUUGUUGAUAACUUUUUCAGUUGAAAUC
rnacentral:pre_miRNA from 1 species